GAUGAACGCUGGCGGCGUGCCUAAUACAUGCAAGUCGAGCGAACAGACGAGGAGCUUGCUCCUCUGAUGUUAGCGGCGGACGGGUGAGUAACACGUGGAUAACCUACCUAUAAGACUGCGAUAACUUCGGGAAACCGGAGCUAAUACCGGAUAACAUGUUGAACCGCAUGGUUCAACAGUGAAAGACGGUCUUGCUGUCACUUAUAGAUGGAUCCGCGCCGCAUUAGCUAGUUGGUAAGGUAACGGCUUACCAAGGCAACGAUGCGUAGCCGACCUGAGAGGGUGAUCGGCCACACUGGAACUGAGACACGGUCCAGACUCCUACGGGAGGCAGCAGUAGGGAAUCUUCCGCAAUGGGCGAAAGCCUGACGGAGCAACGCCGCGUGAGUGAAGAAGGUCUUCGGAUCGUAAAACUCUGUUAUUAGGGAAGAACAAAUGUGUAAGUAACUAUGCACGUCUUGACGGUACCUAAUCAGAAAGCCACGGCUAACUACGUG
rnacentral:rRNA from 1 species